CUCCGAUACGGGGAGUCGAACCCCGGUCUCCACGGUGAAAG
rnacentral:tRNA from 1 species